GGGGGGGGGGGGGGGGGGGGGGGGGGGGGGGGGGGGGGGGGGGGGGGGCGGGGUUUGGUGGGGUGGUGGGGUGGCGCGCGGGUGGGUGGCGCGGGGGGCGCCUGCCCGUGGCUUUGGGGUAGCUUCGGGACACUGGGGCUAAUACCGUCUGGGCGCUCCGGCUGCCUGGUUGUGGUUGGAGCGUUUCGGCGGGUGGGGAUGGAUUCGCGGCGUAUCAGCCUGUUGGUGGGGUCGUGGCUUACCAAGGCUUGGACGGGUAGCCGGCCUGAGAGGGUGACCGGCCACAUUGGGACUGAGAUGCGGCCCAGACUCCUACGGGAGGCAGCAGUGGGGAAUAUUGCACAAUGGGCGGAAGCCUGAUGCAGCAACGCCGCGUGCGGGAUGACGGCCUUCGGGUUGUAAACCGCUUUCGCCUGUGACGAAGCGUGAGUGACGGUAAUGGGUAAAGAAGCACCGGCUAACUACGUG
rnacentral:rRNA from 1 species